GGACUACCAGGGUUUCUAAUCCUGUUCGCUCCCCACGCUUUCGCUCCUCAGCGUCAGGUAAGGCCCAGAGAACCGCCUUCGCCACCGGUGUUCCUCCCGAUAUCUGCGCAUUUCACCGCUACACCGGGAAUUCCAUUCUCCCCUACCUACCUCUAGUCUGUCCGUAUCCACUGCAAGCCAGGGGUUAAGCCCCGGGUUUUCACAGCAGACGCAACAGACCGCCUACGAGCUCUUUACGCCCAAUAAUUCCGGACAACGCUUGCGCCCUACGUGUUACCGCGGCUGCUGGCAC
rnacentral:rRNA from 1 species